GAUGAACGCUGGCGGCGUGCCUAAUACAUGCAAGUCGAGCGAACAGACGAGGAGCUUGCUCCUCUGACGUUAGCGGCGGACGGGUGAGUAACACGUGGAUAACCUACCUAUAAGACUGGGAUAACUUCGGGAAACCGGAGCUAAUACCGGAUAAUAUAUUGAACCGCAUGGUUCAAUAGUUAAAGACGGUUUUGCUGUCACUUAUAGAUGGAUCCGCGCCGCAUUAGCUAGUUGGUAAGGUAACGGCUUACCAAGGCAACGAUGCGUAUCCGACCUGAGAGGGUGAUCGGCCACACUGGACCUGAGACACGGUCAAGACUCCUACGGGAGGCAGCAGUAGGGAAUCUUCCGCAAUGGGCGAAAGCCUGACGGAGCAAAGCCGCGUGAGUGAUGAAGGUCUUCGGAUCGUAAAACUCUGUUAUUAGGGAAGAACAAAUGUGUAAGUAACUAUGCACGUCUUGACGGUACCUAAUCAGAAAGCCACGGCUAACUACGU
rnacentral:rRNA from 1 species